UACAUCUCUGGUGACAAUGUUAGAGAACGCU
rnacentral:piRNA from 1 species